UAGGGAAUCUUCGGCAAUGGGGGCAACCCUGACCGAGCAACGCCGCGUGAGUGAAGAAGGUUUUCGGAUCGUAAAGCUCUGUUGUAAGAGAAGAACGAGUGUGAGAGUGGAAAGUUCACACUGUGACGGUAACUUACCAGAAAGGGACGGCUAACUACGUGCCAGCAGCCGCGGUAAUACGUAGGUCCCGAGCGUUAUCCGGAUUUAUUGGGCGUAAAGCGAGCGCAGGCGGUUAGAUAAGUCUGAAGUUAAAGGCUGUGGCUUAACCAUAGUACGCUUUGGAAACUGUUUAACUUGAGUGCAGAAGGGGAGAGUGGAAUUCCAUGUGUAGCGGUGAAAUGCGUAGAUAUAUGGAGGAACACCGGUGGCGAAAGCGGCUCUCUGGUCUGUAACUGACGCUGAGGCUCGAAAGCGUGGGGAGCAAACAGGAUUAGAUACCCUGGUAGUCCACGCCGUAAACGAUGAGUGCUAGGUGUUGGGUCCUUUCCGGGACUCAGUGCCGCAGCUAACGCAUUAAGCACUCCGCCUGGGGAGUACGACCGCAAGGUUA
rnacentral:rRNA from 1 species